rnacentral:rRNA from 1 species
GUUUCUGGGGAGCUACUGUCAUUACCAAUCUUUUAUCUGCUAUUCCUUGUAUUAUUCAAUGGAUCUCUGGAGGUUUAUUUGUUCAUAAUCCAAC